AACGUAGGAGGCGAGCGUUACUCGGAAUUACUGGGCUUAAAGGGUGCGUAGGCUGCGCAGAAAGUUGGGUGUGAAAUCCCUCGGCUCAACCGGGGAAUUGCAUCCAAAACUACUGUGCUCGAGGGAGACAGAGGUAAGCGGAACUCAAGGUGGAGCGGUGAAAUGCGUUGAUAUCUUGAGGAACACCGGUGGCGAAAGCGGCUUACUGGGUCUCUUCUGACGCUGAGGCACGAAAGCUAAGGUAGCAAACGGG
rnacentral:rRNA from 1 species